rnacentral:rRNA from 1 species
UACGAAGGGGGCUAGCGUUGCUCGGAAUCACUGGGCGUAAAGCGCACGUAGGCGGACUCUUAAGUCGGUGGUGAAAUCCUGGAGCUCAACUCCAGAACUGCCUUCGAUACUGGGAGUCUUGAGUUCGGGAGAGGUGAGUGGAACUGCGAGUGUAGAGGUGAAAUUCGUAGAUAUUCGCAAGAACACCAGUGGCGAAGGCGGCUCACUGGCCCGUUACUGACGCUGAGGCACGAAAGCGUGGGGAGCAAACAGG